ensembl:lncRNA
UGCAUCUGAAAAUUAUUACUUUAAUAAAGAUUUGAGUUUUGUACAGGGCACAUGUGCAGAACAAUACAACACCACACAAGACAUGGACAUACAGUAUUUCAACAACAUUAAAUCAGACAGAUACCAAUGCAUACAAUGGAAAAGAAUCAGUUCCAGUAGCUGUAAACAAUAUAACUCCACACUACUAUCAAAAAGCCCAAACAAAGCUCAGGCGGGAGCUGAACAGACACCAAGCAUGACAUAUAAUAUCGCCACUGCAGACUGAGAGGCAUCAUCAAAGACACUAUUAGCCACAGCAAGAUGAUUCUGACCUGAUUUAGCACCAGUUUGGCGGCACUGUGCAGACGUUUCAAUUAGUGACGGCGUUUUCAAAUGUUUACUCAAACCUCUUACGUCUUCAAAAAAGCCCCGGGGAAUUCACAGAAAUGCAGAUGCUUAAUUAGCUCAAAAUAUCUUGCGAUGAGAAUUUUACAUCAGGACAAUUCAUUUGAUGAUUUGUUUACAUGGGUACAAACACCCUGGCAGGCACUUUCCACUAAGGAUCUUUUUUGUAUGCUAGGGAGAGCUAGUGUGAGAGAAAUGUUGCAUUCAACAGCAUGUCUCAUAAACCAGUCGAGAAUAAUGGUUAGAGGUGGAUUUUUAUGAAACUCACUAAGGCAUAUUACAAACAACAGUACAACUCAUGCAUGGAAUGUAUUACAGCUGAAAUAGUUACUAACUGUAUCUCAUAUCCCCGUGUUGUUAGCUUUGCUGCGUCAUCAUAAUAAUGUUGGUCCAAAAUCAACAUUGCAGCUGACCCAUCAGGAUGUUAUGAUGUCAUAGCUUUGCAAUAUGGUGAAAAGAAAGUUUUGUUUAACGAGGGGCAUUUUGUUUUAUGUUUUUUUUAAUUUAUUAAGUCAUAAAGUAUUAUAAAUAUAUCAUCAAGUUAGGUUUGCUAUUUUCUAAAGGUUGCUCAUGUUGAGUUUUUGUGAUAAUUUUUAGAAGCAUUAGCUAACUUCUUGGCUAAUGCUAACAGUGACCUCAGACAAUGUCACUGGUCUGCUGAUCCUGGACCGAUGUUAUUGUGACGACGCAGGGAAAACACCAACGCGGAGACAUCAUCCGUGUUAAUGUAGGAUCCUUCAUUUAAAGGUAAGAGUAUAGCUUUUAAGCUAGCUAAUCAUAAGCGUUUCGGAUAGCUAACCGCUAACAUUACAUAAGCAGUAUAAUAAUUUUAAUUUUAUAUGUUCAUUUUGAAAUUGUACUAUAUGUACCUUAAAAAUACAAUCUGUUUGCAAACUACAUUUAUCUUUAUCUUAUGUUGCACAACUCUCUAGAUGUUAAGAGCAUCUGCUGGACCGUUAAGCGUUUCUGAAGGAACCAUAAAGCCCCUUCUUACUUCAUACAAAUGUAUGCCAUUAGUUAAAGAGCUUGGAAAGAAAGUAACUUUACUUCUUUAAAUUUCGAUUGCUAACUGAAUGCUCAGACAACAUCACUGGAUCAACGUUAUUAUGAUGAUGCAGGAAGAACACCAACACAGAGAUAUCAGAUCACCCGUGUUACUGAGUGGCUGCAUGUUUAAAAUCAAAGAGUAUCUAAGAAUGUAGAUGUGCAGGGCUUUAUGUAUCUAUCCAUUUAAAGAAGAUAAGGUAUAGUGUGAUCAUUUGAGAUUUUAUUGGUUGGGUGUAUUUUUACCUUGAUUUCUCAAUUUCUCAGGUUACAUAAAUGGAGAAAAAUGUAUUCAAGAAAUGAGUAAAAACAUUAAAGACAUUAAAAACAUUCUGUUUGUACUGAGAAUUUCCUUAGGGAAAAAUAUUUCUGUAAUUUCAGGUAAUUAGGGGUUAAAACAGACCCCCCUGACCUUUAAAGACAGACACACAGACAGCCACCUUUGCAUGAAUGCAAACGCUUCUGUCCUCUUCUGUGAAAUCGGUGAGCAACACAUUGCAGUGGCAAGACAAUAAAAGCAUAUGAAUACAUCAUGCAGGGGUGAAAACAAUGUAGCAUCACUUAUAACAAGUAUCCGAUCCAUCUCUAUCCCCACUUUCUCUUUUCAUUCUCUUUCAUCAUCUACUCCUGGCUGCCACCUACUACUUAAUAUUCCUACCACUUUCUCCAGCAUUUUUCAUCACCUUACCUUGACUUUAAACUCUAAAGCAGUCACAGCCCUUAAUUAACUUCUGCCCAACCCUGCUGGGUUUCUGCUGGCUUGACACAACCUCUCGCUUUCAUAGUAGAGGUCAGAUCUCUGAGACUGAGA